UACGAAGGGUGCAAGCGUUACUCGGAAUUACUGGGCGUAAAGCGUGCGUAGGUGGUGAGUUAAGUCUGAUGUGAAAUCCCCGGGCUCAACCUGGGAAUGGCAUUGGAUACUGGCUCGCUAGAGUGCGGUAGAGGGUGGUGGAAUUCCCGGUGUAGCAGUGAAAUGCGUAGAGAUCGGGAGGAACAUCUGUGGCGAAGGCGGCCUGCUGGGCUACUGCUGACACUGAGGCGCGACGGCGUGGGGAGCAAACAGG
rnacentral:rRNA from 1 species